CUGUGAAUAGAUCUUUUGCGUGUGAUCGAGUGUAGAUGAGUGUCUGAUUGCAGAUCUAUGUUAAUAUCACCCAGUAUAUGAAGAUCAGUUUUUAUAGGGCACUUAUUCAUUAUUAGUCUGUUAAGUUCAUCGAUAAAUAAGUGUUUAUUAGUGUUAGGGGGACGAUAUAUUGCACAAAUGUUUGUAUUAUAGUUUGUGUGAGUGGUUAUUGUGAAUAAUACGUUUUCGAAAUAA